rnacentral:lncRNA from 1 species
UUUAGAAUGGAUUGGUCUGUCCGACAUCUCUGCUUGGUCAGGAUUCGCUACUUUGCUCCCUCUGCAUCAACCCUAACCACCACGCCCACGUGCUCUAGUAGAUUUUGGUGGCAUGACUGUAUUGUUUCCGAGAAAUCUACGAAUUAAUCAGAAUUAGAAGGAAUAUAAUAGUAUUGAUAUGGAACACGAUGUUGACGUUAUUGCUGAGAACGUAGUAUUAAAGAUCGCGGUAUGAUCGUAGUAUAAUCGUGGUAAGAACGUGCUAUAAUCGCAGUAGAAGCGUGGUAAGGUCGUGUUGCAAUCGGAUAACUCGUGGUAUGGUCGUAGUGAGAACGUGAAGAGCGUAGAAAGAUCCUGAUAAGCGCAAUGAGGUCACAGAAUAAGCGCGGUGAGAACCUGAUUUAAUCGUACCGGAAUCGUUGUAGAAGCGUAAUGAGGACGUAGAAGCAUCGUGAAAGCAACGAAAAUUUACAUUUUCAUGCCGCUCAUACCGCGACCUCACCACGAUCUGAAUUUAUUUUAGAUCGCGGUGAGCGUGGUGCGAUCGUGGUCUAGUGGGACUGGGGC